CACAUUAACACUAUCCUACAUACAUUAGGGAUAAUUUACACAUACACCAAGCCAAUUAAUUUACAUACCUGUAUGGCUUUGUAGUGUAGGAAAAAACCCGAAUAUCUCGGAGAAAACCCACGCGGUCGCGGGGAGAACGUACAAACUCCGCACAGACAGCACCCGUCGAGUAACCCGGAUCUCUG